GGGCGAAUGCUCAUCGGCGCAGGUCGCUGCGGAGCCGGAACUACCUUGACACGGUAGAGGUCACAGGUUCGAAUCCUGUAUCGCCCA
rnacentral:tRNA from 1 species